rnacentral:rRNA from 1 species
GAUGAACGCUGGCGGCAUGCUUAACACAUGCAAGUCAACCUGAACUUCGGUUUGGGUGGCGGACGGGUGAGUAACGCGUAAAGAACUUGCCUCACAGCUAGGGACAACACUUGGAAACGAAUGCUAAUACCGGAUAUUAUCAUGUUAGGGCAUCCUAGAAUUAUGAGAGCUAUAUGCGCUGUGAGAGGGCUUUGCGUCCCAUUAGCUAGUUGGAGGGGUAACGGCUCACAAGGGCGAUGAUGGGUAGCCGGCCUGAGAGGGUGGACGGCCACAAGGGGAGUGAGACACGGCCCUUACUCCUGCGGGAGGGAGGAGUGGGGAAUAUUGGACAAUGGACCAAGAGUAUGAUGCAGCGAUUCGGGGUGGACGAUGAAGUUUUGCGGAAUGUAAAGUGCUGUCAGUUGGGAAGAAAAAAAUGACGGUACCAACAGAAGAAGUGACGGCUAACUACGUG